rnacentral:misc_RNA from 1 species
UCUCCGUUGGUGAACCAGCGGAGGGAUCAUUAUCAAGUUUAUAACUCCCAAACCCUAUGUGAACUUACCACUUGUUGCUUCGGCGCGCGCUUCGGUGCCGCCGAGGACACUUAAACUCUUUGUUUUUAUAAGCAUUUCUGAGUGGCCGAAAGGCAAAAUACAAAUGAAUCAAAACUUUCAACAACGGAUCUCUUGGUUCUGACAUCGAUGAAGAACGCAGC